UACGUAGGGUGCGAGCGUUGUCCGGAAUUAUUGGGCGUAAAGAGCUUGUAGGCGGUUUGUUGCGUCUGCCGUGAAAGCCCAGGGCUUAACCCUGGGUCUGCGGUGGGUACGGGCAGACUAGAGUGUGGUAGGGGAGACUGGAAUUCCUGGUGUAGCGGUGAAAUGCGCAGAUAUCAGGAGGAACACCGAUGGCGAAGGCAGGUCUCUGGGCCACUACUGACGCUGAGAAGCGAAAGCAUGGGGAGCGAACAGG
rnacentral:rRNA from 1 species